rnacentral:rRNA from 1 species
AUUGAACGCUGGCGGCAGGCUUAACACAUGCAAGUCGAGCGGUAGCACAAGAGAGCUUGCUCUCUGGGUGACGAGCGGCGGACGGGUGAGUAAUGUCUGGGAAACUGCCUGAUGGAGGGGGAUAACUACUGGAAACGGUAGCUAAUACCGCAUAACGUCGCAAGACCAAAGAGGGGGACCUUCGGGCCUCUUGCCAUCAGAUGUGCCCAGAUGGGAUUAGCUAGUAGGUGGGGUAAUGGCUCACCUAGGCGACGAUCCCUAGCUGGUCUGAGAGGAUGACCAGCCACACUGGAACUGAGACACGGUCCAGACUCCUACGGGAGGCAGCAGUGGGGAAUAUUGCACAAUGGGCGCAAGCCUGAUGCAGCCAUGCCGCGUGUGUGAAGAAGGCCUUCGGGUUGUAAAGCACUUUCAGCGAGGAGGAAGGUGGUGAACUUAAUACGUUCAUCAAUUGACGUUACUCGCAGAAGAAGCACCGGCUAACUCCGUGCCAGCAGCCGCGGUAAUACGGAGGGUGCAAGCGUUUAUCGGAAUUACUGGGCGUAAAGCGCACGCAGGCGGUUUGUUAGUCAGAUGUGAAAUCCCCGGGCUCAACCUGGGAACUGCAUUUGAAACUGGCAAGCUAGAGUCUCGUAGAGGGGGGUAGAAUUCCAGGUGUAGCGGUGAAAUGCGUAGAGAUCUGGAGGAAUACCGGUGGCGAAGGCGGCCCCCUGGACGAAGACUGACGCUCAGGUGCGAAAGCGUGGGGAGCAAACAGGAUUAGAUACCCUGGUAGUCCACGCUGUAAACGAUGUCGAUUUGGAGGUUGUGCCCUUGAGGCGUGGCUUCCGGAGCUAACGCGUUAAAUCGACCGCCUGGGGAGUACGGCCGCAAGGUUAAAACUCAAAUGAAUUGGCGGGGGCCCGCACAAGCGGUGGAGCAUGUGGUUUAAUUCGAUGCAACGCGAAGAACCUUACCUACUCUUGACAUCCAGAGAACUUUCCAGAGAUGGAUUGGUGCCUUCGGGAACUCUGAGACAGGUGCUGCAUGGCUGUCGUCAGCUCGUGUUGUGAAAUGUUGGGUUAAGUCCCGCAACGAGCGCAACCCUUAUCCUUUGUUGCCAGCGGUUCGGCCGGGAACUCAAAGGAGACUGCCAGUGAUAAACUGGAGGAAGGUGGGGAUGACGUCAAGUCAUCAUGGCCCUUACGAGUAGGGCUACACACGUGCUACAAUGGCAUAUACAAAGAGAAGCGACCUCGCGAGAGCAAGCGGACCUCAUAAAGUAUGUCGUAGUCCGGAUUGGAGUCUGCAACUCGACUCCAUGAAGUCGGAAUCGCUAGUAAUCGUAGAUCAGAAUGCUACGGUGAAUACGUUCCCGGGCCU